rnacentral:rRNA from 1 species
CCUACGGGAGGCAGCAGUGGGGAAUAUUGGGCAAUGGGCGCAAGCCUGACCCAGCAACGCCGCGUGAAGGAAGAAGGCUUUCGGGUUGUAAACUUCUUUUCUCAGGGACGAAGCAAGUGACGGUACCUGAGGAAUAAGCCACGGCUAACGACGUGCCAGCAGCCGCGGGAAUACGUAGGUGGCAAGCGUUAUCCGGAUUUACUGGGUGUAAAGGGCGUGUAGGCGGGAAAGCAAGUCAGAUGUGAAAACCAUGGGCUCAACCUGUGGCCUGCAGUUGAAACUGUUUUUCUUGAGUAAUGGAGAGGCAGACGGAAUUCCUGGUGUAGCGGUGAAAUGCGUAGAUAUGAGGAGGAACACCAGUGGCGAAGGCGGUCUGCUGGACAGCAACUGACGCUGAGGCGCGAAAGCGUGGGGAGCAAACAGGAUUAGAUACCCCUGUAGUC